rnacentral:rRNA from 1 species
UGGAAAGAUGGGGGGGGAGGCGCGGUGAUGGGGAGGGGGGUAGGAGGGGUCGGAAUGAUGGGGGGGAGAGGGGGUGUGGGAGGGCCGUGAAGUCAGGGGGGAAAGUCCGGGGGGGAACCCAGGACGUGCGCCGGAGAGGGGCGGGCUUGAGUCGGGGAGAGGAUGGUGGAACUCCCAGUGUAGAGGUGAAAUUCGUAGAUAUUGGGAAGAACACCCGUGGCGAAGGCGGCCAUCUGGACCGGUACUGACGCUAAGGCGCGACAGCGUGGGGAGCAAACAGGAUUAGAUACCCGAGUAGUC